rnacentral:rRNA from 1 species
AGAGUUUGAUCCUGGCUCAGCGCGAACGCUGGCGGCAUGGCUAAAGCAUGCAAGUCGAACGCGAAUUCACCUUCGGGUGAUAGUAGAGUGGCGAACGGGCGAGUAAUACUUUCCUAACGUACCCCAAGGCCGGGGAUAGCCAGCCGAAAGGCUGGGUAAUACCCGAUGAUUCCGCGAGGCCGCAUGGCCUUGUGGGCAAAGGUUUACUUCCUUGGGAUCGGGGAAAGCACUAUCAGGUAGUUGGUAGGGGAACGGCCUACCAAGCCUAAGACGGUUAGCGGGUGUGAGAGCAUGGCCCGCCGCAUCGGGACUGAGACACUGCCCGGACUCCUACGGGAGGCUGCAGCGACGAAUCUUCCGCAAUGGGCGAAAGCCUGACGGAGCAGUGCCGCGUGUGGGAUGAAGCCCUUCGGGGUGUAAACCACUGUCAGGGUUUAGCAACACAAAUGAGCAACCCAAAGA